GACGAACCGAGCGAACGUUAUUCGGAAUCACUGGGCUUAAAGGGUGCGUAGGCGGGCACGCGAGUCAGGGGUGAAAUCCCACGGCCCAACCGUGGAAGUGCCUCUGAUACCGCCGAGUCUCGAGGGGGAGUAGGGGGCGUGCGGAACUUCCCGGUGGAGCGGUGAAAUGCGUAGAUAUCGGAAGGAACACCGGUGGCGAAAGCGGCGCGCUGGAUCCCUACUGACGCUGAGGCACGAAAGCCAGGGGCAGCAAACGGG
rnacentral:rRNA from 1 species